rnacentral:rRNA from 1 species
AACGCUAGCUACAGGCUUAACACAUGCAAGUCGAGGGGCAGCAUGACGGAAGCUUGCUUCUGUCGAUGGCGACCGGCGCACGGGUGAGUAACGCGUAUCCAACCUGCCCAUCAGUUGGGGAUAGCCCAUCGAAAGAUGGAUUAAUACCCAAUGAUAUCAUUUGAUGGCAUCUGAAGAUGAUUAAAGAUUUAUCGCUGAUGGAUGGGGAUGCGUCUGAUUAGCUUGUUGGCGGGGUAACGGCCCACCAAGGCGACGAUCAGUAGGAGUUCUGAGAGGAAGGUCCCCCACAUUGGAACUGAGACACGGUCCAAACUCCUACGGGAGGCAGCAGUGAGGAAUAUUGGUCAAUGGUCGGAAGACUGAACCAGCCAAGUAGCGUGCAGGAUGACGGCCCUAUGGGUUGUAAACUGCUUUUAUAUGGGGAUAAAGUUAGCCACGUGUGGCUAUUUGCAGGUACCAUAUGAAUAAGGACCGGCUAAUUCCGUGCCAGCAGCCGCGGUAAUACGGAAGGUCCGGGCGUUAUCCGGAUUUAUUGGGUUUAAAGGGAGCGUAGGCGGCCUGUUAAGCGUGCUGUGAAAUGUAGUGGCUCAACCUCUGCACUGCAGCGCGAACUGGCUGGCUUGAGUGCGCGGGAGGUUGGCGGAAUUCGUGGUGUAGCGGUGAAAUGCUUAGAUAUCACGAAGAACUCCGAUUG